rnacentral:misc_RNA from 1 species
CGCACCUUGCGCCCUUUGGUAUUCCGAAGGGCACACCUGUUUGAGUGUCGUGAAAUUCUCAACCCUCCUCACUUUGUUGUGUUGGAAGGGAUUGGACUUGGAGGUCUUUGCCGGCUUCGGCUCCUCUCAAAUGCAUUAGUGCGUCCCGUUGCGGAAACGUGCCUUCGGUGUGAUAAUUAUCUACGCCGUGUCAGCGCACUCUGCUUCUCGUGGGAAGGCGCUUCGAACUGUCCGAGAAGGACGAAUUCAUCGAACCUUGACCUCAAAUCAGGUGGGACUACCCGCUGAACUUAA